rnacentral:rRNA from 1 species
ACGGGGGGGGCAAGCGUUGUUCGGAAUUACUGGGCGUAAAGGGCGCGUAGGCGGCCUUCUAAGUCGAACGUGAAAUCCCCGGGCUCAACCCGGGAACUGCGUCCGAUACUGGAAGGCUUGAAUUCGGGAGAGGGAUGCGGAAUUCCAGGUGUAGCGGUGAAAUUCGUAGAUAUUCGCAAGAACACCAGUGGCGAAGGCGGCUCACUGGCCCGAUACUGACGCUGAGGCACGAAAGCGUGGGGAGCAAACAGGA